CAAACCGGGACGCAACAGUCGCUCGCCAGACUUCGUGCUGGACGGUUCGAUGUGUCGACCGAAGAACGUCCCGCGCGUCUUGUGACACUGUGUGAUUCCUAUCCCCUAAGGCGACCUGUUACGGAACGCCGGCCGAGGGAACGGUGCAGCAGACCACGGUGCUCGGGGAAUCCAGAGUCCUCGUCAGAAAAACAGCAGGAAACGUUGCAACUGUUCGCUACAUUUCAUCGCCAAUGGAGUAGAAGUGGACCAAGAAGAUGGAGAUAGGAGAAGGACCGUCGCUGUAAUAGAUGACCCGUAGGUCGUCCAGAAUUCCUGGAUCGUUUGUACCCUUCGAAAGAACCUUCCCGAUAUACUCGAGAUGACGAUAACGGCGUCCACGGAGAGAAUGGAGACGAAGGACCUGCCCAGAAAGAAGUUCAUCAACUCUAAUCUGUUGUCGCUGAAGCUUUUAUUGUUCCUUUUUUUCGGCGGAAUGGGUUGCCUCUUCCCGUUUCUCCCGCUGCACAUGAUGGAAAUGGGCCUGAGCAUGGACCAGAUACGAAUGAUCUCGAUGAUCUCGCCAGCGGUAGCGAUACUAGGUCCACUGGUCGCUGGGCCGAUCGCUGACAAGCUGGCAGGCCAUCAGGGUCGAAACGAGAAGUCCUCAACGGGCCGUUACCUCAGGAUAAUGAUCGCCAUCGCCUGCGUCCUGUCCGCCAUUUUCUACGCCUUCCUUCUAAUCAUCCCCACAGUGGAAUCCGAUGGAUUGGACAGUGUCCUGCCUCGCAGGGAAAGGAGACCCGGUGUAAAGUUCAACUGCGAUCCGGCUGGCGCUGUCGUGCUGCAAGAGAGAUGCAAGGACCGUGGAUUGUGCCACAGAUGGUCGGACGAGACCAGAGUCGGUCCUUUGCUCCUGACGGGAUGCAACUACGCUUGCUACCCUGUAGGCUCCAAACGAUGGAGAGUGGAAGACUCGGAGGGCUCUGUCGGCUUUGGGACCACCGAUUCGGACGUCAAUGGGCUCGAUGGCAGUGGCGACACCACAGUUAUCCCUCUGGAGAGCGAAAUGUAUGCGCAGGAGCCAGAGGAUGCCAAGAAGACGCGAAGAUUCGUGACAGACGACAGCGAACCACCUCAUUUAUGCUUCAAAGAAGGCGACAACGUGGUGUGCCACGUUUACACCGAGUACACAGGCACUUUACCUGUGAAUGCCACUCUGGGGCAGGCCUCCAGCAACAGCAGCGAUCGAGAUUGGUGCGCGUAUCCCCUAGCUGAGUACUUUACCUGUCGAAUACCCCCUGAACUGAGAGCUAGAAUGGCGGAGGUCUAUCAGAGCUGUUCCAUCGAAUGCGACUUGGUCGAUCCAUACACUCUACCAGACAGCGUCCUGGUGGAGAGCCAGUGCCAGCAGACAGAGGACUGGUCGCACCUGGUGUUUUGGACGUACUUGGCCAUCCGGUCAGCCGCUGACAUUUUCCCGACGACAGCUGUGGCCCUGAUCGAUGCUGCCGUAGUGAUAGCCACGAGGGAGACGUCUUGUGGACGCGGCGACGUCGGUCGCCAAUUGGCCUUUGGCUCCCUCGGCUUCGCAAUCUUUGGCCCUCUAACUGGCUAUCUUUCCACUCUGAUAGACAACUUGAACUCCUUCUACUACCUACCCAUCGGCCUGCACGCCGCGCUGAUGCUUCUAGCGGCUCUCGUUGCCCUCUGCGCCGAUGGGAUGCCUCUCAGUCCCCCGGAGUGGUGGUGGCACACUAGGAGUGGCAUGCUAGCGCUUCCUAUGAGUGCCAUCAAGAGAUACGGCAGCGAAACUGCCGCCCUGGUCAUCGUCCUCAUCGUCAUGGGAACCUUCUGGAGCGCUAUGGACAGCUAUCUUCCUUUACACUUGCAGAAACUGGGGGGCAACGAGCUUCCCAUCGGCGUGGCUAUGACCGUGGGAGCGGUGCCAUCGUUCUUAUUCCUCUGGAAGUCCGAGCACCUAGUCGAUUAUUGCGGUCACAGCAAUCUCCUGAUCACUGCCUUCACCGUGUAUAUCAUUAGGUUUACUGGACUGAGUCUCGUCGCGGGACCUUGGUGGUCCUUGAUUUCCGAGGCGCUCGAGGUCUUCACAUUGGGAAUUAUGUGGGUCACUGCCAUCCUCUAUCUGAGACACUUGGUCCCGCGUCAUUUGACUGUCACUGCUCAAGCGCUGCCUGUGAUUGCACACUUUUGCGUUGGUCGAUGCAUCGGAGCCGUGAUUGGUGCUUACAUCAACGUCGACGACUCUGACAUCGUCGAUUCGUUGAGAUUCGUUUAUCGUUGCAUGGCCGUCGCGGCAGCAGGCGUUGCCGCCUUGUAUUUCAUCUUGUAUCACGGCUUAUUGAAGCCACGGUGCCAUGCACACAAUAUACAGGGUCCACGGCAACCGCCUACCGUUGUACAGGGUGAGCAAAUUUGUCGAUAUCUACAGCGUAGCAAGUUUCAAUUCCAUCAUUUACGAUGUUCGUUAUUCCAUAACGAUCGAUAAAUUUAUUAAUAUGUUCAUACAAACGUGACUAACGUAAAUUUCUCACGCUAGCUGCCAUUAAGGAGUACGAAUUAAGUGAGUAUCCUGGAAGCAUUCAAGUGGUUUGAGUCGGCAUUAUCCUUAUUUUUGCUAAUUUAAGAAGCAGAAUCUUUAGCAAGCGUUAAAGCAAUUGCUCCGACAUGCUGUUUAGCGAUAGAUUCAGUGCAAACUGAUGCUUGAUGUCGAAAAGUCGCUGAACUCUAGAAAAAGUGACGGACCAACCUAAGAAUUUUGUAAUCGCCAUCUACCUUAAAGUAUGGUUACUUAAAAAUUGACACGAACUUUCUGGAGAACCAAUAGUUCCCUUGGGAGUCGAUACGAUGCUCCCAGCGAUUCUACUUCAAGGAAGACGACCAUCUAGACCUCCUAGGUCACCUAGAUCUCAGGUUGGGACGUUACUUUUUACAGAGUCGGUUAAACUUUUCUGAUAACCCAACCGAUGAACGGAAACGGGAAUUACACGCCGCUCAGGGUCUACCACAACGGUAUGGGCAGAAAAGGUCAAUUCCGUUAUUGAAGAAUAGGAAAGGUCGAUUCUCCUAUCGAAGAUUAGGAGAAAAAUAUAAAGAGACUGGGCGUUAACGACACGUUAAAUGUCACGUUACGGUGCUAGCGAUUAGACUGUCGCUCCUAUUGCGAUUAAAAAACGAAAUUGAUUGUUACACGACACUAUAGCGUUCAUCUGCAACUUAACUUUCCGUCGAAAUUUGUCACCGUUUGGUAUUGUCGUUUAUUUACAAGCAGUUGUUAAGGAUUUAUUUGCUCAGGUGUACUUCAAGGCGUCGAGACGAGCUUCUACGUUUACCGAUACCGAAAUGAGAUUACGAAUCGAGAAGGUAGAAGUAGGUAGAAGUACUUUCGAAAGUUAGAAAUUCCAAACAGAUCUCGUACAUGUUAUUUUUUAUUUUUAUUUCGCGUUGUGAUCGUAGAAACCAACCUGUUGAAUUUACGUUGCCAAUAAUUUAUGUAUUUCCUUUUUUUAUGUUAAGUGAUUCGAGUAUUCAAACAUUUGCGUUCCUGGUUAUGCCGCAAUGUCUUAAUUUGAAAAUACGAAUAGAUGGAAUUAGUAGCAGUGAGCCUUCGCUUGGUUUAUAAUUCCUGAGUACUUGUACCUACGUCUCCACCAGUAGUAACAAUUUACUACGCACUCUAACUGUAACAUAUUUGUAAUGCUUUUCCAUUCUCAUAGUUUUUUGUAUUUUUUGUAAGUGUACAAGUAUAUAUUUCCCCUCGAGCUCGUUGCGUUCGAUUUCUUUUUGUAUAUUAGACUGCGUGUUCGCGCGAGAGGUCGCGUAUUCGUACUGUUUUUAAGAAAAAUUUCUACGAACCUGUUGUAUCGUAUCUAUACACUGAGAAAUAAUUCGUCUCUCUACGUAGGAUAAGAGUUUACCUGAUAAAGAGAAAGUAAUAUAUUGAACUGUGCGAUCGAUGUGUACACACCGAAAGAAAAAGAAAAAGAGAAAUAAAUAAAAAUGAACAAACGAAAAGGUUUGAAUACAACGUUACAAUUUAUAUUAUAAGUAAUAAACACUUGUAACGCUAACGAAAGAAGAACACUCGGAUGUCUGAAACGUUCCAACAAAUUUCUGAUCCCUGGAGACUCCAAAAGUACCUUUCCUUUCGUGACACUCUAUUCAACAAUUUUGAAAAUAAAUAAUUCACUGCACAAUCGCUACAAAACAGACGGUAACACCUCUCAGUGAAGUGCACGCAAAAAGAGAUAACCGAGUUUCGACAGUUUGUAAUAAAUUUAUUAGGGAGCAGAUUUCAAUUCACUUUACGACGAUCAACAGGCGAACCCGCGACUAUCGUGGAAACGUUCGCUCGCUACAGUUCGAAAUACAAUAUUAGGCUAAAAGUAUAUUCACCCAUGGACCAUAGAAAACAGCGACCAUCGACGUACUUCAGAGCCAUCUUAUCGUUUCGUGGACAUGUUCGUUCGUUCACCUAUUAUACAUAUGUUACCUAUACAAUUGUAGUUAUAAUAUUUUUAUUCAACAUAUUUAUAUAAAUUUCAGAAGUGUAUUCGUUUCAUCAUCCGGCGAGAGAUGGAUUCUUCUAACUAACCGCGAGAGACUCGUUUCAGGAAAUACUUUUUUUUUUCCGGCUCUCCAAAGUGCGCAGUCUUACAGAGUAACACUAAAUGACGGAUGAGUUGUGAAAGAAAAGAAGAAAACCGGUGGCAAUGAUAAAUCCAACAGGAAACGUCGUCCCUCCUGCUAAUAAAUGUCAAAUGCAUUCUUAUAAUUAUCCAAAGAACUUACUAAAGCUUCAACUUUUUACAAUAAUUAUACAUUAUACGCGCUGUACAUACAAGGAGGUCGGGUGGAGGAAAUAUACAGGGUGUCCCAAAAAUGUUGUAACACCUUGAAAUGGGUGGUUCAGGGGGUGAUUUGAAACAACUUUUUCCUUAGCGAAAAUGUUGUCCGAGGCUUCGUUGAGGAGAUAUUAACGGAAAACACUGACCAAUCAGAGCGCGAGUAUGCCGGUGGAGCGCUAGCGCUAACGUAUGAACGCGGUCGCCUAGUGCUUAGCCACGCCUACUACGGCCGGUCCAACGGUAUCCGCACGCUCUGAUUGGUCAAUGUUUUCCGUUAAUAUUUCCUCAACGAAGCCUCGGAUAACAUUUUCGCUAAGGAAAAAGUUGUUUCAAAUCACCCCCCGAAGGGGAAAAAAGGGGAUGGAUGAAUGAAUGAAUGAAUGGACGGGAGAAAGAUGGAAAAAAAAAGAUAUGGGGGGGAAUUCCCCGGAAGCGGAGGCAAGCUCUCUCGCUCUCUCGCUCUCUCAAUCUGGUGUGCGCAGGCGUUAGGAUAGAAUAAGAUAGGUCAAGGUUAGUUGUAACUUACAAACCUUACAACUUGUAAGGUAGAGUUAAGAAAGAUAAGACGACAUCUAUAAGGACUAGGAAUUAAGAUUAGGUCAAGUACAGUGGGUGUAGAAUGUAUUCGUACACCGAUGAAUUCUCUCAAAAAACUUUUGUGUGAAAUUGUAGUUUCUUAACUUCUUUUUUUAUAAUCAAUGAUAUUUUACAUAUUCUCGGAAGUCUCUAAGAUAGAUAUAGUCCAAACAUUUACUAGUUAAUAUAAUUUGUGAAAUGAACAUAAAAAAAAAGAAAAAUGCGAAAAGUGGAUAAAAAUAUAAAAGCAAUAAGUAUUUGUACGAUUCUUAUGGCGAACCAUUUACAGUAGAUUUUAUAACAUAAACACAUUAGUCUAUUGCUUCGUACGAAUUAGAAAACAUCAAAUUUCCAGUAAAGCAGUUUUAAAAAAGGCUCUAAUAGAGGAAUGAAAGGAGAUCCCACUUCGAAUAACUAAUAAUUUAGAUAAUUUAAUCCUUAGAAAAGUUACAAUAAUUAUAAAAUCAACAAGAAAUCCCACGAAGGAAGUAUUAUAUACUUAUAUAUAAAUGUAAGUUUCUCUUUCUUUUUGAUCAAGCUUUAAAAAUUAAACAGUUGUGCGAAUACUCAUUGCUUCAAUAUUUCUAUCGAUUAAUUGUCUUUUUCGUUAAUUUCGCAACUUACAUAAAUAGCUAUAUCUUUUGUAAUCUAUCUAUUCUAUCUAUUCUACAUAUUUCCGAGAAUAUAUAGAAUGUCAUUGUUUAUAAAAAAUAAGUUAAUAAGUUACAAUUUUACACAGUUUUUUUGGAAAUUGAUCGGUGUACAAAUAUAUUCCACACCUACUGUACAUACAUACAAAGAGGUCGCAACUUCACAGUUUCUUCGUAGAAAAAAAAAACCUCGUUAACGUUCUUACGCUAUCAAUAUAUGAAUACGUUUAUAUCUGUAAAGAAAGUACGGGGUACUUCUUUCAAAGUAACCUCGCGCACUUACGCCGCAACAAUUUCGGAAUUAGGACACCAGAGUGAGAAAAGAACGUAGAAGAAAUAAAAAGAGAAUAGCGAAAGCGAAAGAGUGAAUAAUUGACAUUCAAUGUCGUUUCUCUCUCCACAGGUAAAAACCCAUUGUAAAUAAUAACGUAACACAGUAACGUAAGUAAUAAAAUAAAAUUAAAAAAAAAAA